UACGGGGGGGGUAAGCGUUGUUCGGAAUUACUGGGCGUAAAGGGCUCGUAGGCGGCCAACUAAGUCAUACGUGAAAUCCCUCAGCUUAACUGGGGAACUGCGUGUGAUACUGGAUGGCUUGGAUUUGGGAGAGGGAUGCGGAAUUCCAGGUGUAGCGGUGAAAUGCGUAGAUAUCGUAAGGAAGACCAGUGGCGAAGGCGGGUCUCUGGACAGUUCCUGACGCUGAGGCACGAAGGUCAGGGGAGCAAACGGG
rnacentral:rRNA from 1 species